UACGUAGGUGGCAAGCGUUGUCCGGAUUUACUGGGCGUAAAGAGCGCGCAGGCGGUCGUUCAAGUCGCGUGUGAAAGCCCCCGGCUCAACCUGGGAAUGGCCGUUGAAACUGGCGAACUGGAGUGUGGCAGAGGGGGGUGGAAUUCCGCGUGUAGCAGUGAAAUGCGUAGAGAUGCGGAGGAACACCGAUGGCGAAGGCAGCCCCCUGGGCUGACACUGACGCUCAGGCACGAAAGCGUGGGGAGCAAACAGG
rnacentral:rRNA from 1 species